rnacentral:lncRNA from 13 species
CAGGAGAAAGCUGGCCCAAAGUUUCGGAUUUAUUUUUCUCCUUUCCCCUUUUACAUACAGGGAACUCUUUCUCUCAGUCUCUUUUCCUUUCCAACUCAAGGGCCUCAGUGGACAGCACCUAAGCACGCCAACAACUGCAACUUUCUGGCCAGGGCUACUCUCUGGUGAAACUGAAAGUCUUCUAUGUGGAAGUGCCUGACUGCCACCAUCUGGUUUGGAUCACUAUGGGCAAAUCUAUUCCACCUGUUUCCACUGUGGGCAGCUCCCCACCUAUUCCACCUGGUUCCCUGCUUGGCUACAUCAUCCACUGUUGGAAUCAAUUUGACCCUGACAAUCUAAAGAGAACAGAGACCAUCGAGCUUCAGAUGCUCGUGAAACAAGGUUUCCAGCCAGUUCCAGGUGAAGACACCACCCCCAGCCAUCAGGAAGCCACCUGGUCUCCACUAGACAGAGUAGGACAAAAGUUCCAUGAUCUCCAACAGGUAAGGACUAUGCCCCAAGUCAGCAUGACGCCGUUACAGAAGAAAGACUGUCAG